rnacentral:ncRNA from 1 species
AAAGUGGUACGCUUGUACUACAAGCGCGCGACGGCGGGACCUGCCACCCGGCGCGCCGAG